GACAGAGGGUGCAAACGUUGUUCGGAUUUACUGGGCGUAAAGCGCGUGUAGGCGGCUUCGCAAGUUGGAUGUGAAAGCCCACGGCUCAACCGUGGAAGCGCGUCCAAAACUGCGUCGCUAGAGUCUCGGAGAGGAAGGUGGAAUGCUUGGUGUAGAGGUGAAAUUCGUAGAUAUCAAGCAGAACACCUGCGGCGAAGGCGGCCUUCUGGACGAUGACUGACGCUGAGACGCGAAAGCGUGGGGAGCAAACAGG
rnacentral:rRNA from 1 species